rnacentral:antisense_RNA from 1 species
AUUUUCAAUUCUGUCAUUUAUCGUUAUUUCUGGUUGAAAUGGUAUAUCUUCAUCCCCUUCUUGUGAAUUGUCCUCGGUAUUCCCUUCCUCCACGUUAUUUGAAGUUAACUACAGAAUUAUUGUAAUCGGGAUUAUUAAAAUUACUGACUUACCUCUUCUUCCGCUGAAACUCCCAGCGAACGUUUUAAUCUUUCCACCAAACCUGAGGAUCUUUUUUCAUCUGAUGGUGCAUCAAUUAUUUCCUCUUCUUUUUUUGUCUGAAUUUUAAUAGCUUCAUUCGUAUUUUUAUGGUUAUGUAAAUUUUCUUUUUUAUCGCCUUCACUUUCUCCCAAAUCUUUGACAUUCUCGAUUUGGUAUGCAGUGUUUCCAUUAGAAUGCUGCUGAAUAUCGUCUAUAAAAGAUAAUGGUCCAUUCAUUUUAUUUGAUUGAACUUCUGUAUUUUCUUCAUUGUUUGAUGGGCCUUGUGUUUCCGCAGCAAAUUCCCUUUAAACGAAGUCAAUAAAUCUAGUUUCACUUCUAAGCAACUUACCUAAAAUUUUGGAGUUCAUUUGAAACAGCCUUUUCAAUUUCUCUUUUCCUCUCUUCAAUACUUUCACUCUGAAAAACAUUAAUUGAACAUUUGUGUAAUUUAUACUUACUUGAAUUUUCCUCCAUUUUUGAUUAUGUAGAUCUGCCUGAUUUAAUGCGCAAGUUAUUUUUAUACAAGAAUUAUAUUGCUUUGGGAAGCAUUUAGGGCUUUUACAGAUAUACUUUGCCUUAAUUGAGCUUAUAACCCCUGAUAUUCCAUUACUUUUAAAUAUGCCAAUAGGAACUGAGAUAGAAUUGGAUCUAAAAAGUUGUUCAAACCUCAAAAAGUGGCUAAAUAAUACUUACGUUACUAAUUUUUGUCUGGUAGUUAGCCUUCCAAUGAAAUUAGAUGGCUUUCUGCAUAUCUCUUCACUAUCAAGUUUUGAAUCAACCAUGAAUUGAAAUGCCGCAAACUUAUUUUUCUUAAACCCUACUCUUGAACGAUUUUUAACAUUAUAAUAUUGCAAGAAAAUGUGAACAGUAAGAGGUACAAAUCCAUCAAUAAC